CACGUGUUCAGUUGCCCGCUUUCCUCCGCUCCGACUGGCGGUCCCUCCCGUGGCUGCUGUUUGUUUGUUUGUAACUUUUUAAUAAAUAAACUAGGAAAUUUUAUAAGAUAUUGACAUUAUGUGACGGUGCCAAAUACUAUUUAAUUUCGACGUUAGAGAGAAAAAAA
rnacentral:lncRNA from 1 species